rnacentral:lncRNA from 1 species
AACAGAUGAGACUUACAUGAUUCAAAGGCAGUUACGUGAAGCCCUGGGGAAGAGCUUUCCAGGAGAGGCAACGGCAGGUGCACAAGCCCCGAGGUAAGAAAGGGAAAUGUCAAGACCAGAAGGCAGGCUGAUACGGAGGAAUCUUCCAGAAGAAGUCCAAAGGAUGAACUGAGACUGGACUUGAGGCAGGACCUUGUGAGCCCAGGUAAAGAUUUAAAUUCUACUCUAAGGAGCAAUGGAUACCAUGGGUUUUGUGUUACAUAAUCAAUUCUACCAUAUAGCUGCUUCGAUGUAACUUACUGGCAAGAGUGAGUGCUUGGCCUUGGGAAAGACAAGUGUAUUUCUGCAUGUUGAAUUUUCUUUCUUUUUGUUUCCUCUUUUGGUGGCUUUAUGAGGAAGAUGGAGGUGGCAAUUGCCAAGUGGAGAAUAAGAAGAAGUGGAAAAAAAUGAAAAUAAGAAAGAUAAUAGGUGGAAGAGAGUCAGGCAGAGUGAAGGAAUCAAAGAGCGGCACAGGACCCUGAGAUCCGCCUAGCAUCCAUUAACAAGUAUUCACGGAGCACCGAUGUGUCAGGAACUGUCCUCCGCCCUGGGACCAUGCUGGGACAUGGACCGAGAAUAGUCACAUGUCUGUGGAGCUAGUGAGGGAGAGAGAUGCCAAAUAAUUAUGGAAAAGGUAUAUCUGCCAAGUAGAGAUAAGCCAGCCAGCCAACUGCUUAUGAGGAUAAGGAGAAACUGGGGCAAAGUUUAAGGAUGUCGCAAAGUCUGGGUGGCCUUCAGUCCAUGAAAGAGAACACAUCUGUUCUAUCUCAGGCUGAGGUCAUCUGCAUCCUCAUCAAUAAGCUGACUGAGCACUCAUUACCUGCCAGACACGGUGCCUACAUGCUCUAAAUGCACGGUCUCGUUUAUUCUCAGCAACUUUCCGAGGUAAGUGCUGUUAGCAUUCCCAUUCCACAGAGGAACAAACUAAGGCUCUGAGAAGAAGUAAUUUGCUCAAGACCUCACAGCCUGGGAUCAUGGGUAUGAAUCAUCUGGGUGAAUGAUGAGGCCAAAUCCCAAGUCCAUGUUUAUGACACUUAGAAAUAACCAUUUAAAUGUCCUUUGAAGGGUCAAAACCAUUUAGAGGUUUUAUCUCUUUCUUACAAUCUUCAAAGAAGUUUAACACCUUAUAAUAAAUAUCUCACAGAUAACUCAGGUCACUUAGUGAAUAUUAGUUGAAUUGCUUUUGUAUUAGAUCCUACCUGCAGCCAAAAUAUAAAUCUAUGUUACCCUCCAGCUCAAAUAUCUUCCAUGGCUCCCCAUUGCCGUCAAGAGACAAUUUAAACUCGUUACUAUGGACUUUUUACUCCAAGUCCUUGAGAUCCAUCUGUGCCACCUCCCCAGCUUCCAUCCUCUUAUCCGUUCUCCUCACAGUCUCACUUCAGCCAUGCUAAGCUACCUGCCAUUCUCUCUGUGGACCCUGGGCUCUUGCACUUGCUGUUCUUCUGGGAGCCCUUUUGUCCAACGCUUAUUCAUUCUGUGUGAGUUAACUCAACUGUCACCUCCCCAAAGUGGACUGUGGUCUUGCGCCAGUGCCUUCCCCUGAGUCCCAUGACACCCUGCAUUUGCUUCUCUUACAUUGUAUUAUUAUUAUCUUUUUGCCUGCCUGUCUCUCCCACAGACAUGAAAGCAAGCUUUUAUGUACUUAGGUUGGAUUUCAACCUUGGCUCUGCCAUGUGUGUUCUUGGGCAAAGUUGUUUUUUUCUCUGUGAGCCUUAGUUUCCUCAGCUGCCAAAUAAGCAGUGAACAAAGUUAAGUCAUGUGACACACAAUACCUGGCAUAUAGUGAGGUUCAAUGUUAGCUUUUUUUAUCUAAGCAUCUUCAGGGCCAGUCUUUGGACCAAACAUGCUGUUGAUGCUCAGUGAAGUGGUAGCUCUACCUGGACCAGUGGUUUUCAAAUUUUCUCCUUCAUUGGAACCUCCUGAGAGGCUGCUAAAACACAGGUUACUGGGUCCCACCCCAAGAGUUUUUGAUUCUGCGGGUAUGGAGUGGGGCUUGAGAGUUUGCAUUCCUAACAUGUUCUCAGGUGGUGCUGAGGCUGCUGGUCCUGGGACUGUACUUUUAGAACCACUGGGCUGGUUACCUGGGAAGGGUAGAUGUCUGGUUAGGGUGAUCAGACAUUCAGAGCUAAAACAAAUUCACACUAGAGGAUAAGGCAAUCCACAAUGGGUGUGGCCACAGGAUAUUUGUUUAGCAAUUUAUCCAUUCAACCAAUAUUUGUUGAGUAUCUACCAUGUCCAGGCAUUGUGCUAGACACUGACAAUAGAACAAUGAAUGAGCAAGACAAGAAGGUUCAGAUCUUGAUAAGUUCACAUUCUAGUGGCACUGCUUUGGAAGGUGGGGGCCGUCAUUACACAAAUCCCAUGGGUGUGAAUUGAAGGGACACAGUUAGUUUGGGGAAUGGUUAGCCUUAAAGCCACUGAUACCAAUAAUGGCUUUACUGUCUACUGUAUCAUUGUAUUGCCUUCUCAACAUGAUUUCACCAAAAUGAUUCAUUGAAACUGAUUAUGGUAUUCCCAUAAUCCCCUUGCCUGGAACUGCAUCCAUCAUUCAGCACAGUUUUAGGAUGAAGUCAACCCAUGGAACAUGGCAGAAUGGAGUGUCAGAGAACCAGA